rnacentral:antisense_RNA from 1 species
CAAUAUUGGUUACUGUUCCCCUUUAGAGCAGUCACCGAAGGCCGAAAAUGCUGGUAACAUUUUCGGCCUGAAAAGACCGGCUUAUGCCGGUCUUUUUU